AUUGAACGCUGGCGGCAGGCUUAACACAUGCAAGUCGAACGAGUGGCGGACGGGUGAGUAAUGUUUGGGAAUCUGGCUUAUGGAGGGGGAUAACUACUGGAAACUGUAGCUAAUACCGCGUACCAUAGGAUGAGCCCAGAUGGGAUUAGGUAGUUGGUGGGGUAAAGGCUCACCAAGGCGACGAUCCCUAGCUGGUCUGAGAGGAUGACCAGCAACACUGGAACUGAGACACGGUCCAGACUCCUACGGGAGGCAGCAGUGGGGAAUAUUGCGCAAUGGGGGCAACCCUGAUGCAGCCAUGCCGCGUGAAUGAAGAAGGCCUUCGGGUUGUAAAGUUCUUUCAGUAGCGAGGCGUUACCUACAGAAGAAGCACCGGCUAACUCCGUGCCAGCAGCCGCGGUAAUUC
rnacentral:rRNA from 1 species